rnacentral:lncRNA from 1 species
GUAUGGAGCCAAAGAGGAUUAUUCCAAGCUUUAAGAUCUGAUGGAAUUUGCCUUGCUAAAUGUUGGACUUGCCUGGGGCCUGUUACCCCUCCCUUCUUUUCUGUUUCUCUCUUUUGGAAUGGGAAUGUCUCUGCCUGUCCCUCCAUUGUAUUUCGGAAGCACAUAACAUGUCUGGUUUCGCAGAUUCACAGCUGGAGAGGAAAUGCUUCUGGAUGAAUCAUACCUUGAGUCUCACCCAUACCUACUUUAGAUAAUAUUUAGAUGAGAUGUUGGACUUUAUACUUAGAGUUGAUGCUGGAAUGAGUUAAGACUUUGGGGGCUGUUGGUAUAGAAUGAAUGUUUUUUGCACAUGAUAAGGACAUGAAUUUGGGGGAGCUAGAGGCAGAUUGUUUUGGACUGAAUUGCAUCCCCCAAAAUUUAUGUGUUGAAGCCCUAAUUCCUCAUGUGAUUGUAUUGGAGAUGGGGCAUUUAAGGAGAUGGUUAAGGUUAAAUGAAAUCAGAAGGGUGGUACGCUGAUAUGUUAGAACUGGUGUCCUCACCUGAGAGGAAGAUAUGUCAGAGAUUGCUCUCUCCUUCUCUGUGCCAUGUGAGGACACAGUGAGAAGGUAGCCAUCUGCAAGCUAGGAAGAGAGCCAUCACCAGAAAUCGACCUUGCCAGCACCUUGAUCUUGGACUUUCCAGCCUCCAGAACUGUGAGAAAAUAGUUUGAGCCACCCAGUCUUUGGUAUUUGGUUAUGGCAGCCCACGCUGACUACGUGAUUCACUGCUCCCCCCAAAUAUUUUCGAAUGGAUAACACACAUAUAAUCUGUGGGUUCUAGAAAUUGAGGAAAUAGGAAAUCUUGACUUCUCAGUGGUUCUCAGUUGGUCCUUCACGGCACCUCCUGGAGCAUCGGGAGCAGGGUUGAAGCAGCGGGAAACUGAGAUAAACCAACGGAGCCCAACUCCAGUCACUGCUAUAACCUUGGAGGAGCAGCUCAACUUUUUUGGGUAAUUUUGCUCUGUUAUUUUAUUAAUGGGUCUGAACAAAAGGUUUUGUGAACCUGAAAAUAUUGAUGUAAACGCUUAGUGUGUUUCAGCUCUGUCUCUUUCGUUACAUCACAGGCUUCUGCCCCAAAAAGCCUGGCACAGUUACGGCUAGGUAAUUGGGUCGGUUUGCCCCUGACUGGUUUGUGUGCACACGUGCGGACUACAUCCACAGCGAUCAUUUCUCUCAACCUUUUCAAACAACUCUGUGCCAGUCUCCUCAAUGUUAGUUUCUCUCUGUGUUCUCAUUUUCUUAAAAAAUGGUGUCUUGGGCCUCCCAGAGUGAAUGUGAAUUAUAGCUCCAUUAUGUCUUUAUGGGUAGCAAGUUUUAGGUUUCUUUCCAAAGCACACAAAUGGAUUUUAAGGAGAUCUGUAAAUGGCUAUAAUUUAAGAUCAGAGAGUAUUAUCCUUGAGAUAAGAUUGGAAUUUGGCAGGAAAAAACACAACUUUUAUUUAGAAACUUGGCAUCUUGAACAUAGAAUUUUGCUGCUGCAGAAUUUCAAGUUAGACACUUAGUUGAGAUGCAAGAAGUAAAUGUUGGAAAACUGGAAGUAGCUGAGGUUUGAAAAGACUAUCUAGGGAGUGAAUAUACGCUGUAAGCGGUUGUCCCCUCAUACUUUAUCUUGUUGUGCUGAAAAAUACAUACAUACAUUUCAGGCAAAGAGAGAGAGCACUUUAUUGUUAGGAAUUGGCUCACACCAACAUGAGGACCGGCAAGUCUGAAAGCUGUGG